AGUGAACGCUGGCGGUAGGCCUAACACAUGCAAGUCGAACGGCAGCACAGUAAGAGCUUGCUCUUACGGGUGGCGAGUGGCGGACGGGUGAGGUAUACAUCGGAAUCUACUUUUUCGUGGGGGAUAACGUAGGGGAACUUACGCUAAUACCGCAUACGACCUAGGGGUGAAAGCAGGGGAUCUUCGGACCUUGCGCGAUUGAAUUAGCCGAUGUCGGAUUAGCUAGUUGGCGGGGUAAAGGCCCACCAAUGCUACGAUCCGUAGCUGGUCUGAGAGGAUGAUCAGCCACACUGGAACUGAGACACGGUCCAGAGUCCUACGGGAGGCAGCAGUGGGGAAUAUUGGACAAUGGGCGCAAGCCUGAUCCAGCCAUACCGCGUGGGUGAAGAAGGCCUUCGGGUUGUAAAGACCUUUUGUUGGGAAAGAAAAGCAGCCGGUUAAUACCCCGCUGUUCUGACGGUACCCAAAGAAUAAGCACCGGCUAACUUCGUG
rnacentral:rRNA from 1 species